rnacentral:rRNA from 1 species
CCUACGGGAGGCAGCAGUGGGGAAUUUUGGACAAUGGGCGCAAGCCUGAUCCAGCAAUGCCGCGUGCAGGAUGAAGGCCUUCGGGUUGUAAACUGCUUUUGUACGGAACGAAACGGUCUGCUCUAAUACAGUGGGCUAAUGACGGUACCGUAAGAAUAAGCACCGGCUAACUACGUGCCAGCAGCCGCGGUAAUACGUAGGGUGCGAGCGUUAAUCGGAAUUACUGGGCGUAAAGCGUGCGCAGGCGGUUAUAUAAGACAGAUGUGAAAUCCCCGGGCUCAACCUGGGACCUGCAUUUGUGACUGUAUAGCUAGAGUGCGGCAGAGGGGGAUGGAAUUCCGCGUGUAGCAGUGAAAUGCGUAGAUAUGCGGAGGAACACCGAUGGCGAAGGCAAUCCCCUGGGCCUGCACUGACGCUCAUGCACGAAACGACGGUGGGGAGGACGAAACGAAGGAGUUAGUAUACCCUACGGUACGUACCGACCGACCCGUAAACCGAACUGUCAACUGGUUGGUUGGGUUCGUUC